AAUUAGAAUUACAGUCUGGGAAAUUGCUGGAGCCUCAGCUAUAGUGGGGGAGGGGUGGUUCCAGGAGAUGUUCUGGAAUCUUGGGAGAGCAAGAGUUUUCUAUCAGAGAGAGGCAGUCAGCUCUCAAUCCUGAGACAGCCUAAGGAAAGGGCUGGUCAAGACUUUGCUCCUGAGGAAAGACUUACAUCUUUCUCGGUGAUUGGACACCCUUCCGCCCACCAAUUCUCAACUGAAGUGGCCUGUGAAGUAGAUGGGAAGAAGCUGACAUCACCUGACAGCUGCUAGUGCCAAGGGUCUGGACAGUGCCCAGGUGGCCCAGACGAGGGCCAUUCAAGCCUGAAUCUCUCAGGGGCCCAAGUUUGCCAAGCCCUGGGUUCCCCAACUUGAGGAAGGAGAUUAUAAUUGGAGAUCUUGGAGAAUUGGGACUAUUUUUCUAUAUGCAUCCCUAUUAUUUAGCAAGAUGCCUUGGACCCAAUUAUUUCACUAAUGGAAAACGGUAUGAAGCCAUUACAACUUUUCCCUGUGAUCUCAACUUUUUAUUAAAUCCCUAUUGAGUAAUGGAAUACAGAGAAGAAAAUCUGGCAUCUUCUGUAACAUUUUUUUUUUAAUUUUUGGGUAAGCCUGAUUAUCUAGAUGUUUUUGAACAUUUUGAUUUGAUUAUGAAAUUCUAU
rnacentral:lncRNA from 1 species